GAUGGGAUGCGCAAUCGCAUGGAUACCGGAGCUGGGGAAUAGGUGCGCACUGAUUAUUAUGGGCGGUAUUUAAGGGGCUUGGCCUGGAGGUUGGCACAUGCCUGGUUUCCUUCGGGGAGAACAGUCCUUGUUUCGUCGUGGGAUUUGGCGUGGAAGGCCGAAGACUAUCGCGUGUGUAUCCAAACGGUGCUUUGGUGCCUCGGUUGCCAGAGGGGUUGCGUUGCCCUGUGGGAAGCUGCCAGCUGACUCGUGGGGUGGCUAGCUUUGUGGCAGUGUCUCUGGAUGCUAGGUAAGUUACCGUAGGACUCGGUGGGUUGCUUAGAUUGCAUGGUGUAGCCCUUGUCUAAUUCCUCUCCUUUGGUUUUGGAACAGCAGCGGAAUGUGGCGCGUUUGUGUUCGGAGCUCACAAUGGAUAGUGGCCUUGUAGAACCAUCUCCAGCCUAACGAUCUGCGGCUACUUGGAGAUUCUGUCCCUCGACUUCCCACGGCUUCGGUGGCUGCUGUUUUGUUUCGGUCCGGCUCACGCUCGGGAUUCGUCAACCCGGCGGG